CAACCCAUUGGUUGAUUUUGCUGCUAUAAUUUGGCUCAUACUUUGUCUGCCCUCGCCCACCACCACCACCACCACCACCACCACAACCACAACCACCACCACCACCUCCUCUUCCUCCAAGUAGAAGAGAUUGAAGCCUCCAAUAUCGAUAAUGUUGUCCUGGAUGAAGAUCGUUCUGGGGCUCGCCGCCUGCAAAACCUCUGGAGGGACCAGCGAGAAGAAGAACUGGGCGAGUAUUACAUGA
rnacentral:sRNA from 1 species